AGCGUCGACCUCCACCCCCUCCCCCUUUCCCUUUUGCCUUUCCGGUCACCUGAAGCCAGUGCCAUUCCCAUCGCCUCCCGCUGCCGUUCCCGUGUCGCUCUCUUUCCCCCUCACCUUUGUUGUCUUAGGCUAGCGUAGCUAGCGCGGCUGUCGCAGGAAGCUGCGAUCGUAGCACCCUCAGCCCCUCCUCCCGCAUUUUCAGACAGAUCAACGGCAAGGAGCUCCAUUCACACCACCUGGACCUCGCCUCUAGUCCCUACCGUUACAACCAUCCGACCCAUUUCAUGCUCUUGGCCUACUUCUCGCACGACAGAAAGAGAGAGGGAGACAGAGAGGUUGCGAUGAUCAAAUCCGGCCACCUCGAAUGAUUCCGGUGACUGACACCAACAAGGAAGUAGGUUUUUCCUUUAAUCCGAUUUAGGCUAUGCUUCUUCGGCGCAGGGCAAUAAAGAAAUUUUUCUAGUUUCAUAAUUUUUUGCUAUGUAAUCAUGUGUAUAAAAGCUAUGUAUACUAAGAGUUAGUGACUCCGCAGUUGUAGGAUUUACAUAUUUUUAGUCGUGUAUUAA